rnacentral:rRNA from 1 species
UACGAAGGGGGCUAGCGUUGCUCGGAAUCACUGGGCGUAAAGGGUGCGUAGGCGGGUCUUUAAGUCAGGGGUGAAAUCCUGGAGCUCAACUCCAGAACUGCCUUUGAUACUGAAGAUCUUGAGGUCGGGAGAGGUGAGUGGAACUGCGAGUGUAGAGGUGAAAUUCGUAGAUAUUCGCAAGAACACCAGUGGCGAAGGCGGCUCGCUGGCCCGAUACUGACGCUGAGGCACGAAAGCGUGGGGAGCAAACAGG